UUAAAGAUGGACAACGACAGUGACGUGAGGAGAAAACAUAAAGACGGCACCAAAAAAGCCAGGAGUGAAAAGACAAGUGGACUGGUGGAAGAAGCAAUAAAGUGUACGAGAAGAACAGGGGUAUUCGGAGUGAAAGACAGGCGAGAGACAGAAGUCACAGAAAUUGUGCGUCAACAACACGGCAGCACUUCGAAAAUAAUUUAAUGAAAGUACAGUAACGGGCAGUGCAGUGAAAGGAAAUGCGAUGCAAUUCCCGGCGCUUCCACCAGGUGGCAGAGCGAAACUAUGGAUCCGACAAUGUCUCUGUCAGCCUUCGGGAAGGGGAAAAAUAUAGACGUAUGUAAUCAGA